rnacentral:rRNA from 1 species
UAGAGUUUGAUCCUGGCUCAGGAUGAACGCUAGCUACAGGCUUAACACAUGCAAGUCGAGGGGCAUCAUGAUCUAGCAAUAGAUUGAUGGCGACCGGCGCACGGGUGAGUAACACGUAUCCAACCUUCCAUUAACUCGGGGAUAGCCUUUCGAAAGAAAGAUUAAUACCCGAUAGUAUAGCAUUUCCUCCUGGUUUUGCUAUUAAAGAAUUUCGGUUAUUGAUGGGGAUGCGUUCCAUUAGUUUGUUGGCGGGGUAACGGCCCACCAAGACUUCGAUGGAUAGGGGUUCUGAGAGGAAGGUCCCCCACAUUGGAACUGAGACACGGUCCAAACUCCUACGGGAGGCAGCAGUGAGGAAUAUUGGUCAAUGGACGGGAGUCUGAACCAGCCAAGUAGCGUGAAGGAUGAAGGCUCUAUGGGUCGUAAACUUCUUUUAUAAGGGAAUAAAGUGAGUCUCGUGAGACUUUUUGCAUGUACCUUAUGAAUAAGGACCGGCUAAUUCCGUGCCAGCAGCCGCGGUAAUACGGAAGGUCCGGGCGUUAUCCGGAUUUAUUGGGUUUAAAGGGAGCGUAGGCCGGAGAUUAAGCGUGUUGUGAAAUGUAGGCGCUCAACGUCUGCACUGCAGCGCGAACUGGUUUCCUUGAGUACGCACAAAGUGGGCGGAAUUCGUGGUGUAGCGGUGAAAUGCUUAGAUAUCACGAAGAACUCCGAUUGCGAAGGCAGCUCACUGGAGCGCAACUGACGCUGAAGCUCCGAAAGUGCGGGGUACCGAACAGGAUUAGAUACCCCUGUUAGUCCCGCACGGGAAA